rnacentral:rRNA from 1 species
AGCGAACGCUGGCGGCAGGCUUAACACAUGUAAGUCGAGCGAGCGUCUGACGGGUGAGUAACGCGUGGGAACGUACCUUUUGGUUGGUAACACUACCGGGAAACUUGUGCUAAUACCAGAUACCGCAAGCUCGGCCCGCGUCUGAUUAGCUGGUUGGCAGGGUAAUGGCCUACCAAGGCGACGAUCAGUAGCUGGUCUGAGAGGAUGAUCAGCCACACUGGAACUGAGACACGGUCCAGACUCCUACGGGAGGCAGCAGUGGGGAAUAUGGCACAAUGGGCGCAAGCCUGAGGCAGCCAUGCCGCGUGUAUGAAGAAGGCCUUCGGGUUGUAAAGUACUUUCAGCGGGGAGGCGUUACCCACAGAAGAAGCACCGGCUAACUCCGUGCCAGCCGCCGCGGUAAUAC